GUGAGGCCUCCCCAGCCAUGUGGAACUGAGUCCAUUAAACCUCCUUUUCUUUAUAAGUUACCCAGUCUCAGGUGUUUCUUCAUAGCAGUAUGAAAAUGGACUAAUACACCAGGGCUUAUACGUAACCUCCUCUUUAGACUUGAACUGAGUUACACCACUGGCUUUCCCGGGCCUCCAGCAUGCAGAUGGCGGAUUGUAGAACAUUUCAGCCUCAGUAAUUGGGUGAGCAGCUCCCAUAAUACACUCCUCUAUGUUUCUCUCUAUGUCCUAUUUCUGUUUCUCUGGAGAACACUGACUUCUAUAGUAUGUAAGGCACUCAGUCAUAAAGGCAGGCUAUCCUUCCAUUAAUGACUCAUUCUGGUGUAUCUGUAGCCUAGAUCCCUGUUCUAGGAAAAUCCUAUUCCCUUCUUGCCUCUUCUAUGUGGAAAUCUCACAGACAUCACCACUCAACCCAUCCAGAUCAGAUGGGAACCAGGGAUUUAACAGCUGGCACCUGCUGCUGCCAGUCUGCCAUUGUCCUAAGUAUUUUAUACACAUUUUCUCAUCUUAGAAAGCCCCUGGAAGAUAAAGAAAUGGAGGCCACGAGCUGGAGAACUGUGUGCUCAAGUUGCACAGCUAUUAACAGACUGAGCAGGGACUCCCGGCCAGCAGUGUGGCUCCAGCUGGUUUCCAGCUUCCGCUUCUUGGCAACCACCUUCACAGAGGAAUGCAAGAGGCAAGCGGUGCCCGAGCCCCUGUGUGUCUUCAGAUCUUCACAGCACAGUUCCUGA
rnacentral:lncRNA from 1 species